ACAUGUCAUGAUCUCAUCAUCGACAUCAUUGAAACUCCUUUCGAUGGACCAGAACUCUUCCGAUUCAGACAAUUAGAAUGAUCGAUCAUCAAAAUCAUUCUAAUUGCUCCCAAAAUCCACCAGUGACACCUAGCAGUAUAUGGUGGCAACCCAUCAGAACUGAAGAUGAACCUCUCAGUGCAGCUACCUGUGUGAUUGAGUUCCUCUAUCAUGAGUCCCGACUGAAUUAGGGUUAAAGUGAACUCGUCAAACCCAACAUCAGUCAUAUGAAUCAAUCGAUC
rnacentral:lncRNA from 1 species